UACGUGUGAGGCAAGCGUUAUUCGUCUUUAUUGGGCGUAAAGGGUGCGUAGGCGGCGGAGUAAGUUGGGUGGGAAAUCCCGGGGCUUAACCUCGGAAUGGCAUUCAAUACUGCUUCGCUUGAGUACUGGAGAGAAGGCUGGAAUUUACGGUGUAGCAGUGAAAUGCGUAGAUAUCGUAAGGAAGGCCGGUGGCGAAAGCGAGCCUCUGGACAGUUACUGACGCUGAUGCACGAAGGCCAGGGGAGCAAACGGG
rnacentral:rRNA from 1 species